CCUGGCACUGAAGGAAGAUGGAAUUACUAUCCUCUGCUCAGAUAACAACUGAGGAAAGAGGCCCUACCCACCCUAUCCCAUAAGUGAGGAGGGAGAGGAACAUGAUUUUACCAAACUCCACAACAAAGAUGGCAGACAGCGUAGCUUUAGAUGCGCCCAUGGUAGACAUCACCAGUAAACUGCAACAUUUUCUGCAGAGUCCAGACAUGGCUCCACUUAAAUUUGCUCCUUAAAUCCAGGGGCUAGAAACAGCAUAAUUUUUUUUGUUUUUUAAUGUUUAAUUUUGGUGGGUUGUUUGUUUUUGUGCGGUUUAUUUUUUAUUUUUUAUUUAUUUUUUUUUGAGAUAAGGUCUCACUCUGUUGCCCAGGCUGGAGUGCAGUGGCAAGAUCAGGGUUCACUAGCCUCGACCUCCCAGGCAUAAGUGAUCCUCCCACCUCUGCCUCCUGAGUAGCUGGAACUAGAGGCAUGCGCCACCACACUUGGCUAAUUUGUGUAUUUUUUGUAGAGAGAGGGGUUUUGCCAUGUUUCCUAGGCUGGUCUUGAACUCCUGAGCUCAAGUGACCCACCCACCUCUGCCUUCCAAAGUGCUGGAAUUACAGUUGUGAGCCACCAUGCCUGGCCUGUUUUGUGUUUUAAGCUAAAUUAUAUCUGGCUUUGUGCCUCCACCUCCUUGGCUGGGAGGACAUACAAAAGUGGUCAUUACUGGGACACUUAACUACCACCACCACCACUUGCCCAUUGUAUAGAAUGGGAAUCCUGAGUGUUGGCCAGGAGAUAGGGCAGGGCCUGGCCUUAGUCCGGUUUGGUUGCUAUCACUUCUCUUUCUCCUGUCAUUUCCCAGUACCAGCGUUGAGUUUGGCCCUCUGCUGUUUAUCAGGCAUAGCUGCCACAGAGAAACUCAUCAGCAUUCCAGUCUGCCUCAGUCUGGGCUGCAAGCCUCCAAAGCCAAGAUGGCCAAUGCUAACUCCCAGGAAGCAAGGUGAGAGAACUAAGCUGUGUGACUCCAAAAGAGCAGAAACCAGGAACUGGAGAAUGGAGGACCAAAGAUCAGAGAACAAACAGGAUGCUGGUCUGUUAUCACUAACAAUAAUUACCACUAACCUCUCUGGUAAGGAGACAACACCGAAACAAAACUGGACUGAGAAUAAGCUCAUAGCAAAGGAGGAAAAUCAAAAGUUUUUACCUCAUCAGCAGCAUCAAUGA
rnacentral:lncRNA from 1 species